rnacentral:rRNA from 1 species
UAGGGAAUAUUGGACAAUGGGCGAAAGCCUGAUCCAGCAAUGCCGCGUGAGUGAUGAAGGCCUUAGGGUUGUAAAGCUCUUUUACCCGGGAUGAUAAUGACAGUACCGGGAGAAUAAGCCCCGGCUAACUCCGUGCCAGCAGCCGCGGUAAUACGGAGGGGGCUAGCGUUGUUCGGAAUUACUGGGCGUAAAGCGCACGUAGGCGGCUUUGCAAGUCAGAGGUGAAAGCCCGGGGCUCAACCCCGGAAUUGCCUCUGAUACUGUUGGUCUCGAGUCCGGAAGAGGUGGGUGGAAUUCCUAGUGUAGAGGUGAAAUUCGUAGAUAUUAGGAAGAACACCGGUGGCGAAGGCGGCCCACUGGUCCGGUACUGACGCUGAGGUGCGAAAGCGUGGGGAGCAAA